rnacentral:rRNA from 1 species
UACGGGGGGGGCAAGCGUUGUUCGGAAUUACUGGGCGUAAAGGGUUGUAGGUGGCUUGUUAAGUCAGACGUGAAAUCCCUCAGCUUAACUGGGGAACUGCGUCUGAUACUGGUGAGCUUGAGUGCAGGAGAGGAACGCGGAAUUCCAGGUGUAGCGGUGAAAUGCGUAGAUAUCUGGAGGAACACCGGUGGCGAAGGCGGCGUUCUGGACUGCAACUGACACUGAAAAACGAAAGCCAGGGGAGCAAACGGG